rnacentral:rRNA from 1 species
AGUUCCCCACCUUUACCGAAAGGUAUGGGUAAUCUUGUAAAUUUCAUCGUGAUGGGGCUUGACGAUUGUAAUUUUUUGUCACCAACGAGGAAUUCCUAGUAAGCGCGAUUCAAGAAAUCGCAUUGAUUACGUCCCUGCCCUUUGUACACACCGCA